rnacentral:rRNA from 1 species
GACGAACGCUGGCGGCGUGCUUAACACAUGCAAGUCGAACGGAAAGGCCCUGCUUUUGUGGGGUGCUCGAGUGGCGAACGGGUGAGUAACACGUGAGUAACCUGCCCUUGGCUUUGGGAUAACUUCAGGAAACUGGGGCUAAUACCGGAUAGGAGCUCCUGCUGCAUGGUGGGGGUUGGAAAGUUUCGGCGGUUGGGGAUGGACUCGCGGCUUAUCAGCUUGUUGGUGGGGUAGUGGCUUACCAAGGCUUUGACGGGUAGCCGGCCUGAGAGGGUGACCGGCCACAUUGGGACUGAGAUACGGCCCAGACUCCUACGGGAGGCAGCAGUGGGGAAUAUUGCACAAUGGGCGGAAGCCUGAUGCAGCAACGCCGCGUGCGGGAUGACGGCCUUCGGGUUGUAAACCGCUUUCGCCUGUGACGAAGCGUGGGUGACGGUAAUGGGUGAAGAAGCACCGGCUAACUACGUG